CGGGGGGGGCAAGCGUUGUUCGGAAUUACUGGGCGUAAAGGGCGCGUAGGCGGCCUUCUAAGUCGGACGUGAAAUCCCUCGGCUUAACCGAGGAACUGCGUCCGAUACUGAAAGGCUUGAAUCCGGGAGAGGGAUGUGGAAUUCCAGGUGUAGCGGUGAAAUGCGUAGAUAUCUGGAGGAACACCGGUGGCGAAGGCGGCAUCCUGGACCGGCAUUGACGCUGAGGCGCGAAAGCUAGGGGAGCAAACGGGA
rnacentral:rRNA from 1 species